rnacentral:lncRNA from 1 species
CAGCAACAACAACAACAGAAACAACAGCAGCAACAGCAGCAGCAGUGAAAGUAGCGUAUUCUAUAUUUCUCUCAACAUAUAUGAGGAGGGAAGGAGAAAUUUCCACCUCCUUUCCAACUGUCAUAUUUAGUUUUUAGUGUCUGUUAUUUGUUACUAUUUUUUCUUUCCUAUAUCUAACUAUCUAACUACACCCCGACCUCCACCUGCCUGCCAUCGUCUUCCUCUUCUUCUUCUUCCUUUUCUUCUUCUUCUUCUUCUUCUUGUUAAGCUCUGAUGUUGUCCUCAACUUGGAAUCUCCCUCGUUCCGUGCGGAAGUUCCUUGACUAAACAGUGAGAGCUAAAAGCUAAAACGAGCUAAAGCGAGCAGGCUGUCAGCCAGUCAGCGAGGCAGUCAGUCAGUCAGGCAGGCAGGCAGAUGGACAGACAGUCAGGCAGGCAGGCGAGCAGGCAGACAGGCAAGCAGGCAGACAGGCAAGCCAGCUCGCUGCACACUUGCACACGGAAAAGCAGCGUAUAGGUAAUAAAGUGACAAACCUUAGAGAGGUAGAGGAAUGCUCCACUGUGAUUAGCUGACUCUAUUCCUGACUGCUGGAGCAUGUGACUGCUACUCUGUACCCCUCCUCAGCAACAUCUUAAACAAUUACAACAUCAACCAGUUGUUCACUUUUCCCAUCUCUACUCCGCUACAACUGUUGGCUAAAUAUGCUGGAGUUUUACAAAAGUAUUCUUCUUCGGCUUUAUGGAAUACAACACAGAAACUUGGAUCCUCUACAGAAAGGUACGCCUUUUUCCUUACUUUCUGUUCCAAGCCAAAACAAUGAACUCAGUGCAAAUUAGUCUUUUUUUUUUAAUAUACUUGUUUUUUUUUAUAUAUAUUAUUUUUUUUUGUUAGUUUCGCUUUCAUUAGUUCCUACUUUGGUUAUAAGAACUUCUAAUCCUAAGGAAGAAAAAGCAGAAAGGAAAUAUUUAAAAAAUACUAAAAAGGAAAGGAAAUAAUAAAAAAAAAGUUGAACAAAAAAAAUUAACAAAAACAACUUUUUUUUUCACUUUUUCUGUGUGCUUCAACACAGCCGGUAUCUUUUCUUUCUUUCUUUCUUUUUUUACUGAUUUCUUCAAAGAGUCAAAUACACCCAAAAGUAGUAAAUGCCAAUCAUUCUUACAUAUCUAACCCCACCCUACACCCACCCUACACCCACCCUACACCCCCUCCCCCACAUUCACUCCAUUCCUACAUGCCGCCACCGCCACCGUUACCUCCCCAGAGUAAACUAUUAUUCUUUUCAUUCACUUUCUUUUAUUACUCAGAAUGUACCUGCUCAUUUCAACGUGGAUGUUAAUAUUAAGAUAUUAGUAUUAAUUAAUCUUUAGCCUUUAGUCUUUAAUCUUCCCAACCACAAUGACUUACCACACAAACUUUCAUUCCUCUCGUCAGGACAUGGGUUUCUUGCAACUAAAUAUAUAUAUAUAUAUAUCAGAAAAAAAAAUUUUUUUAAAUACAAACAAGAAAAUCUAAGACACAACUCAAAAACAAUGAAAAAAAACCAACAAAAAUAAUAAGAAAAUGAGAAUAAAAAAAGAUGGUAUUGAUUAUCUAAGUUUUGCUUAAGUUUGUAAUUUUUACUGUUCACGACACUUUGGAUUUCACUGAAGUUAAUAACUAAACGUUGACUUCACUAAAGUAACAGAAAAUAAUAUGUUAUAUAUAUAUAUAUAUAUAUUGAACAUUUACAAACUCAAGCAUAACUUCUAAUAAAAGGGGUACUCCAUAUAUUUUGGCUAUUAUAUGUAUUUAUGUAUGUAUGUAUGUAUGUAUGUAUGUAUACAUGUAUGUACGUACGUAUGUAUGUACGUAUGCAUGUACGUAUGUAUGUAUGUAUAUAUGUAUGUAUGUAUGUAUAUAUGUAAGUAUGUAUGUAGGUAUGUAUGUAUGAAUAGAAGAGUGACAGAAUGAACAAAUGAAGCAAAAUACAAUACGAGAGUGUAUAUAUAUAUAUAUAUAUAUAUAUAUAUAUGUGUGUGUAUGUAUGUAUGUAUAUGUUUAUUUUUUAAUUGUCAGAAAGUUACAUAAAUACACAUGCACUCACACACACUCAUUUAGAUAUGUAUAUCUGUGGGUAGAUAGAUAGAUAUAUAGAUAAAUUGACAGGCACAUAUAUACAAAAAUGAUUAUAUACAGGCAUAUAUAUGUGUGUGUGUAUGUAUAUAUGUAUGCAUGUAUGUAUACAUGUACAUACAUAUGUAUGAAUAUAAUGAAUAUAUGUAUGAUUGUAUGUACAUACGCAUGUAUAUAUGUAUGUUUAUAAGAAACUACUGAGUUUAGUAAAACGAUAUUUGUUGGGUACACAGCUUUAAUAAAACAUGUCCACACACACUACUAAUAUUUUGAAGACUUCACCUGAAUGGGUCUUAACACGCACCCCUGGACAGCAGAUAACAGCAGGAUUUCUCUGUAACACACACACACACACACAUAUGAUCGUUUACAUAAAAGAAAAAAAAA